rnacentral:rRNA from 1 species
AUUGAACGCUGGCGGCAAGCCUAACACAUGCAAGUCGAGCGGAUGAAGGGAGCUUGCUCCUGGACUCAGCGGCGGACGGGUGAGUAAUGCCUAGGAAUCUGCCUGGUAGUGGGGGAUAACGUCCGGAAACGGGCGCUAAUACCGCAUACGUCCUGAGGGAGAAAGUGGGGGAUCUUCGGACCUCACGCUAUCAGAUGAGCCUAGGUCGGAUUAGCUAGUUGGUGGGGUAAAGGCCUACCAAGGCGACGAUCCGUAACUGGUCUGAGAGGAUGAUCAGUCACACUGGAACUGAGACACGGUCCAGACUCCUACGGGAGGCAGCAGUGGGGAAUAUUGGACAAUGGGCGAAAGCCUGAUCCAGCCAUGCCGCGUGUGUGAAGAAGGUCUUCGGAUUGUAAAGCACUUUAAGUUGGGAGGAAGGGCAGUAAGUUAAUACCUUGCUGUUUUGACGUUACCAACAGAAUAAGCACCGGCUAACUUCGUG